GUGCUUGCUUUGGAAUCACACUAAAUUUGGAAGGAUACAGGGAUGAUUAGCAUGGCCCCUGCACAAAAGUGACAGCAUAACUCAGUGGCUACUCAGCAGAAU